UCAAAUAAAAUUUUCCUUAUAAAUACUUAGACAAAGUUUCUCAUGAGUCAAUUUGGACUGCAUAUCAUAAGUACGCUGAAUGGGCAAUUUGCACGAUUGCCCUUAUUCGGGGUGGUCUUUAAUUUUUGUCCUUCAUUAAAAAUACCCCGAGAUACUGGUUCGAACCCCGACUCAGUAAAAAAAAAAAUCGCAAGGCAAAAUUUCGUAGCAAAGUAGGCCAAUUCGGACAAAAGUUAUGCCUUAACUUUUGUCUUGUAAAGUAAAAAAAAAAAAAAAAAAAUCUACCUUAAGGCAGACUUUUGCCCGAAUAGACCUACUUUGCUACGAAACUCUACCUUGCAAAAUCCAAAACUCUGCCUUGCGAUUUAAAAAAAAAAAAAUUGACUGAGAGGGGUUCGAACCCGGGACCAAUGAAUUUUAGGCGAAAGAUAAAAAUUAAAGACCACCAAUUUGAGGGGCAAAUAUUAAAGACCAGUACCUUUGAAGGGCAAUCCGCGCAAAAAAAAAAAAUGACGCUGAAUUAAGUGAAUCAAAAUGGAUUGAGUUAAUAAAAUAGGUGGAUCACAAUUUUUUGGACUGAUUUUUGCACCUCUUAAGCUGUUAAUUAUUUGACAGAGACUAAAAUUGUUAGCUUAUAACAAACUUAAGAAAUCAAAAUUGUUCAAUGCAUACUUAAAAGUAUUUUGAACCUAACUCAAGAGACCAUUUUUGACAUUUUCUCCAACUUUUGUCAUUUGGCUUACCCAGUACGUUUUUUUCUUCAUAUAUUCGAGCAAGUUCCAUACUUCCUUUCUCUCACCCCUCUCUAUUUUUUGCCCAUCCCAUAUCAUCACUUCAACUAUUUCUCAAUUUUAGUUCCAAUUUGUUUUUUGGGUCUGCUGAUUUCAGAGUUUUGGAAUAUCACUUACUAUGGCGUCAUCGGAACAUAUCAAAAGUGCUGAAGAAGUUGAAAGAAGUGAUGAUCUUGUACUCAAGAUUCUCCUGCUCCUCCCAGCAAAACCUCUGUUCAAGUUCAAAUUGGUUUCUAAACGGUGGCAAUCUCUCAUCUCUGAUCCGCGUGUUUCGUCCCUCUGGAGGCCUCAAACUUCACCGAAUGCACUCAUUGUGCGGAAGUUGUCUUGGUUGUGCAAGGACAAGUGUGAAAACUUCUCUUACAUUCCACUCAAAGAUGAAGCAACACUUGAGGAUUCUCGUGGAAUCUUGGAUUGGUUGAAAGGCGACACUUUCACUGACACAGUUGAAAUUUUUGUUCCAGCGGUGGUUUAAUUUUUUGCUGGUGUGAGAAACUUGGACAUAUGAAGUAUAUCACAGAGUACUAUGUUGGUAACCCAACUACCAAGCAAUUCACCCUUCUUCCAAGUCCAGAUAGGCGUCAUACGCGAGACUUGUGUUUGGCUUUUGAUCAUUCAAAGUCACCUCACUACAAAAUUCUUAAGGUUGGCUUUCUUUCUAAUGAGAUGUAUUCUUCAGAGACAAACUCCUGGAGACAAUUACGAGAUCCGUUUCCAAGGCCAAUUAUAUUGGAAAUGAAUGAAGGGAAGGGAGUUUUCCUCAAUGGAGCAAUCUUUUGGGUGCUAGUGGGGUUAAGUAGCUUUUGCUAUUUCGAUAUGGAUACGGAGAUUCUGCACUCUGAUUAUCCAAUGCCAGAAAUGGAUACUACAGUUACAGAUAACUGCUUUGGAUGUGUCAAUGAGAUUUGUAUCUUUUUGGCCCUUCGGACAGGGGAUGGAUGCCUCCUUUUAACGUGUUUGAAUUAGGAAACGACUACUCUUGGAGCCUAAAGUAUCGCAUCGAUCCACUGGAGGUUCGGAGUAGUAUUCUUUCGGUUAUGACAAGAGAAGGGAAUGAUCAGGAACUAUUUGUGGCCCUCUACAUACCUCACCAGGUUAUGUUAAUCAGCUUAAAAGAUAUUACUUGCAGCAUGGUCUUGCCAUUACAUGCUUCUGCUGGCCUUGCAUUUGCAAGUAGAGUUCUACUUUAUCCUCUGAUUGAGAAUCCAUUCUUGGCUAUCUAACUUGUAGGAUCUAUGUGAAUUAGGUACUGUCUCAAGGUUGUCAUAGUAUGUAGCAUUUAGUAGUAAAGUCGGACCUAGCAAUAUUUUGCUAUGACAAACCAAGUUUCUUUUGGAAUCAAUUUUCAUAUUAAGUUAUA